CAAGUUCGAGUGGCAAAUGUUUGGAACUAAAUGGCAACUUCCCCUGCACCGUAAUUAAUUGGCAGCUUCCAAAUGUUUGGAGCCAAACAUCAACAUAAGAAAUACUGCUAAUUAAUUUAGUGUAGAAGUAAUGAAGGAAGAGGGCAAUUUCAUUAAACUAUGACAACUGUACAGAGAAGUUAUGUAGAAAAAUGAAAAAUCACAAGCUCAAUCACAGGGAAAAAGCAGAAGAAGCCCGCCAAAGAGAAGCCGGUGAUGGAGAGGAAGUACAGAGGAGUGGGGAAAAUAUGGUGCAAAGAUCAGGGAUUCGAAAAGGCAAUGCAUCCUGAUUUGGCUUGGAAUAUUUAACUCUUCGGAAGCAGCCAUUCUCAACUUGGCUUUGAUUUGGCUCAUGACCAAGCUACCUCCACUAUGAGAGGCUCUCAGGCUAUUCUCAACUUCGCUAAUUAUUUUGUGGGCAGAUCACUCAAAGAAACCCAAACAAUGGAUCCGUUAGAAUCAAAUUUGCACCGUUUAAAAAAAAAGCAGUGUCGUUUUAGAAAAAGCAGUGCCGUUAAGAAAAAAAGUGUCGUUUUAGAAAAAGCAGUGCCGUUAAGAUAAAAACAGUGUCGUUAAGGUUUAAGGAAUUCGAAAUUAGGAGGAGUUAUAAAUAGCUGCGAAGAGAACUGUAUUAUUCAUUCUCUUCCAUCUUUUAUUGAUGUUUUCCUUCUGUGAAUGUCCUUUUUUCAUCAUUCCCAGUUUGCAGAGAAUGCUCUUUUUUUACAUAUGUUGUUUCCUUUUCUGGGAAUGUCCGUUUUUGUCAAUGUUGUGUGUGCACUGUUCUGUCUACUUGUGUUGUUUUUCUGUACAAUUUAUUUUUUGUGGUGUUAUGUUAUUUUUCUCCCCUUGUAUUUUGUUGCGGACUUUUUCAUAGUGGCAGCAAAAAAGAGGCAGAGAAGAGGAGGUGAUAACACAGGAUGAGAAGAGGCAAAGAAGAGGAGACGACAACACAGGAUGCUAUGUUAAUAUUGUUGUACUGCUUUAGUCAGCGACUAUGAGUCCAUUUUCUGUAAGCAUGUGUUUUCAUCCCUGCUGUGAAUGUCCAUUAGACUUCUUUGUCAAUGUUUUGUUGCAAAAGAUGAGGCAGAGAAGAGGCGGCAACACAGGAAUGAGAAGAGACAGAGAAGAGGAGGCGGCAACACAAAUAUGAGAAAGGCAGAAUUCUUCUUAUUAUUACCAGGUGGGCUACAGGUUGACAGAUUGACACAUCCAGGCAUCCUAAUUGUGUUGCAGACCCUACAUGGUGGUGCCACUGGGGAUCGUGAAGUAAGGUUAAAAUUAUAAAUUUUGUUUUAACUUUUUGGUUUGUUGAUUAUUCUGUUGUCUAGUCAGGGGGCAUCCAAUUCGUAGUCCUUGGGACGGAGUUUGUGUACUGAUAGGGCCUUGAUCUUUUAUCUGUGAGAUAUUUUAUUUUAUUUUUCCUGCUAAUUAAUAAGACUGUCACCAAAUUAAUGUGCAUCACAUUGAAGUCAAGAUGGGAUGCCUUAUGUAUUGUUUGAGGGAGUUUUGAAGUUGAUCUAGCUCUUCUAUCUUCAGUUGAUAUGAUCAUAGUUUGCGUAGAACUAAGCUGGUGGUCACAUGAAUGACAAGUGCAGAUGAAAAGUGAAUAUAAGUGUUGAAAAGCAUGUGAAAACAUCAUGUGCAUUUUCACUUACCUGUAAAUUGCCAUAAUUUUGUCACAUGGAGUUUCUAUUCAUGGCAUUCUGUUUUCGUGUGGAAUCCAAGACUGUAAAUAAGAUUGUCUUUGAAGGAAUAUUUAUGUUCUGUCAAAGUUAGAAAAAUUUAUAGGCUGGUUUAGCUUUACUUGUUUCUAUUGUAAAAGAUUUGUCGUAUUGGCAAAGAUUAUACAUUCA